rnacentral:rRNA from 1 species
UACAGAGGUCCCAAGCGUUGUUCGGAUUUACUGGGCGUAAAGAGCGCGCAGGCGGUCGUUCAAGUCGAGUGUGAAAGCCCCCGGCUCAACCGGGGAGAGUCACUCGAUACUGAUCGACUCGAAGGCAGGAGAGGGAAGCGGAAUUCCCGGUGUAGUGGUGAAAUGCGUAGAUAUCGGGAGGAACACCAGUGGCGAAGGCGGCUUCCUGGCCUGUUCUUGACGCUGAGGCGCGAAAGCUAGGGGAGCAAACGGG